AUUGAACGCUGGCGGCAUGCCUUACACAUGCAAGUCGAACGGCAGCAUGAUCUAGCUUGCUAGAUUGAUGGCGAGUGGCGAACGGGUGAGUAAUACAUCAGAACGUGCCCUGUAGUGGAGGAUAACUAGUCGAAAGAUUAGCUAAUACCGCAUACGACCUGAGGGUGAAAGUGGGGGACCGCAAGGCCUCAUGCUAUAGGAGCGGCCGAUGUCUGAUUAGCUAGUUGGUGAGGUAAAGGCUCACCAAGGCGACGAUCAGUAGCUGGUCUGAGAGGACGAUCAGCCACACUGGGACUGAGACACGGCCCAGACUCCUACGGGAGGCAGCAGUGGGGAAUUUUGGACAAUGGGGGCAACCCUGAUCCAGCAAUGCCGCGUGUGUGAAGAAGGCCUUCGGGUUGUAAAGCACUUUUGUCCGGAAAGAAAUCGCACUUACUAAUAUUAGGUGUGGAUGACGGUACCGGAAGAAUAAGGACCGGCUAACUACGUGCCAGCCGCCGCUGUAAUAC
rnacentral:rRNA from 1 species